GCGUGGCUUAGUCGGUAGAACACCCGACUAUGGUGUAGUAGUACUCGGGUUCGAGCCCCGGUUGAGGCA